UACGAGGGGGGCGAGCGUUGUUCGGAAUUAUUGGGCGUAAAGGGUGCGUAGGCGGUUUGGUAAGUCUGAUGUGAAAUCUAUGGGCUCAACUCAUAGUCUGCAUCGGAAACUGCCGGGCUUGAGUGUGGGAGAGGUGAGUGGAAUUCCUGGUGUAGCGGUGAAAUGCGUAGAUAUCAGGAGGAACACCUGUGGCGAAAGCGGCUCACUGGACCAUAACUGACGCUGAUGCACGAAAGCGUGGGGAGCAAACGGG
rnacentral:rRNA from 1 species